AGCGGCGGGGCCGGUCGGCGGGCGGGGAGGUGCCGCGGCGGCGGCAGCGGUGCCAGCACCCGGCCCGGGAGGAUGCGGACGCGCUGACGGAGCUGCCGGCUCCCCUCUGCCGCCGUGCAUGGGUGGCGGGCGGCUGCCGCCUCGAUUCGCCUCGCCUGCCCCGCCGGCACUUUUAGGGUUUGACAGAGAUUGCCUGACACUUCAUCAACGACCUAAACAUCUGCAGCAAGAAUAGUUUUUGGAAGUGACAUCUGUUGAUGCAAUUGAAGCAUGACAGAGGUGAUGAACACACGGGAACCAGUGAUGGAGGAAUUUGCACUCAGCCAGACUCCUGAGGAAGGAGGUCCUUCAAGCCAGACCUUCCCAGACUCACGUGAGAAGUACCCCAAGCUGUCCAAAAGGCUGCCAUCAAUUGUCGUGGAGCCAACUGAGUCCGGGGAGGUGGAGAGUGGGGAGUUGCGCUGGCCUCCUGAUGACCUGAAAUCAGCAGAGGACAAGGGUCUUCACGGUGAGCAGCGAGGCUGUGUCCAGCAGCAGCAACAGCAGCAGCAAAUGGAUCUGGAAGAUACUUUAGCGCACCCAGCUCAAGAAGUGGAAGACAGUACAGAUACUCUUGAAAGCAGAACUGAAGAGGACGAGUAGGGACUCUAUGGCCUCAGAAGUGAAACUUCAUUGUGAAUGUUGUUGGAAAGUUAACACACUCUGAAGACGUCAAAGUAAUCUGUAUUUAAAUCCGCAAGAGUUUUAGUUAGUUAGUACCUGGUAAGAAGCAUCUGGGCUUUAGAACUGUUCUUUUCAACAUUUUGAGUUUCAGGCUGGGAUUCAUAUUUGUUUAAUUUUUCCUUGGGAAACAAUAGAACACGUUAGGAAAUGUGAGAUUAUAAUUAAGGGAAAGUGCUCCUAAUUUCAGUUAGCACAUUUCAUUGGAUUUACCUUUUUCAAGAAAAGCUGCUUUCAGGUAUCAACAGCAGGACAAAGGGGUUGCAUUUCUACAGGAGGGGUGUCUUAGAUCUAAAAUGUUUCUUGUUUUUAGCCAUUUACAACUAGCACUGUGAUAUUAUGGACAAUAGAUGUAAUAUAACGUCACCAUUUGAUUUUGUAACUUUUGUAUAGAGAUGCAAGUGUCAGAUUUGCCUGCAGGCUGCCACCCUGAGGUGGCCCAGAGCAGUUCUCUCCCUCUGGCUGCCCUCUGCAAGCUCAGCUGCACCAGCCUUUUCCCAGCCACCUUUCCAAGAAGGCUGACUGGCACCUCCCAGAAAAGCUUUCUUGCUGUACCUUGGCAAAGUGGGUUGGUGAGCUGCUGGUGUAGAGGCUGUCUGGUGUAGGCUUGGUGGGGUGGAUCAUGGUGUUUGUGUGCUCUUCAGGCCCAGGUCCAGCUGUGCUGUGCGCUCUUCUACCUUGAAGCCAACAAGAUGGCUCUUGCUUCUGCUGGGACUGGAUUUGUCCCGCCUUGUUAAUAGAAAUUGUUGUGACAAUUCUUCUUCUGGUAUGUUUGGCGUGUAAACAUAGGUGAAGAGGCCCAGCUGUUCCUCCCUCAGCCUGAGCUGGGUGGUGGUUGGGGGUGGGUGACGGAAGCUCCAUAGCACAGCCCAAACCUGGACCCCGUUUUAUCUGGCUCCAGGUCCUCCCUGACCCACUCACAGUGGGAGGGUGUGGAGGAGGUCUCAGGUGUGGGUCCUACACCUGCCUUCUUCCUGCCCAAGCUGUGCUGCCUGUGGGACCCUGAGUGCUGGGGUUGUCCCAACCUGCAGCAUGUUUUACGGCCAGCUCUUGGAGACCAGAGCUCACAGGGGGACAAGCUGUCUCUGGAUACUUUAGGCUGCCAGUGGAUUUUCCUUGGGGCUUUGGGGGCCAUUUUGACAGGGGGGAACCCAUUUCUGCAUGGGGACCUCUCAGACACUUCCUCCCAGCAUCCCAGGAGAAGCACCAAUCUUGGCCCAAAGUGCUAGCUUUUGGACAGUGUUGGUGGAGAUAGAUAAUGCAUGUACUCAAAAGGGUUUGACUGUGUCAGUGAUGAGUGUCCCAUAAGACUUUCUCCAUCUCUGCAGGGCUGGAUGGAGUCUGUACUUUGAAUUAAUGUUGCAGCUGGAAGAAGCCACUUGUUGUAGGUGGAACGAAAUAACAGGAUUUCUUCCAGCAUUAACUCCUAAGAUGACUUCCAAGUGCUUUCUUUUCUCCAGUAAUAAUUUUCUCUAACAGAAGCUUUUAAUUGUGUGAUGGUGAAUAAAUUUUACUGGCCAGAUGUAUUAAUAAGUUUAUACCUUCUUAGCAACCAAAUUUAAUAUAUUUACUUACAAAGAAUUCUGUGCAAUGAAUGUUUAAUACAAAGCAAAAGAGACUAUUUUACUUCAAAGCAACAUUAAUUUAUGUACAAAACUAUAGCUCAUUAUUUGGGGUGUUUGGGAUCCAGAACCCUUUUUAUAAGCGGUGUAGUAUAGUAUAUUGUGAUACUUAAGUUAAACUUUGCUCUCUGAACCUAUAUAAUGAUCUGUUUUGCCUUCUUGAUGUAGACUCUCUUUACCUAUGCUGUCACAGAAUUAUUCUGUUGGAUGAGUGGGAUUCUGGUCAGAGCACUGAAUUUCACCAGAGUAACCGAAGUUUUCAGAGCACCUCCUUAAUCUGGCUGCUGUCCCUGUCACCCCUUCACUGGUGACACUUUUCUGGUAAAGCCAACAAGGAGAGAACAAGCUCAAGCUCCGUGUUUGGGUAGCACACGAGCAGCAAGCGAUGGUCCCCAGCUUGGACUUGUCUGCAGCUGGUGGUGGUGGGAGGAAAAGUGCAGAUGCAAGGUGCUCUUUAAACACUGCUUUUGCAUCGACCAUCAAGAUGCUUUACAAAGCUCUCGGGGAAAAACAACAACGGUGACGACAUAUUUUUAGCUGUGUGAUUUCCUUUCAAUCUGCGUCUGCUCAGCUCCAUGAGGAAUGACGUUAGAUGUAUCAUUUAAUUUGCUUUUUGCUUUAUAAAAGGAAAAACACUUGUUUGAAACACUUCCCUCAAUUUUAUGUGCUCUCUAUCUGCUUUCAGACGCUCCCUCCCUUCCUGCUCUGGAUGGCCCUUAUCCCAUUUCCACCUGAGGUCAAUGGCACUUCCCUAAAUAAGUUUCCCAAAGAAACAACAAAAUUCUGCAUACACCCUGAAAAAAAGAGACACAGCAUUACUUUUUUUUUUCCUAAUACAUAAAGCUGCAAUCUGUACAGAAAUUCCAGGUUUCCUCUUUCCAGCCUAGUUACUCCUGUCUUCCCUUUUCCCUUGUUCUCACUGCUCCUUUGAAAUUUUUUACCUGAAGCAAGUGGAUACUUCAAACUAUAUCUUUAUCUUAAGGCUGUAUGACCUCACUUUAACAACCAUGCAAAGCCAAACUCCUCCUCCUAUUUUUAUUUUUCUGAGCAUGGGCCGGAAGCCCUAGAAUAGGAAAGCAAGAUAGAGAGAAAAUUGAUCUAUACAAACAAGCCCUAUUUAUUCUGCAGGUCUUUGAAUGUCUACUUAAUCUGUCUGUGUGCAAGUGUUGUCUCUCUAAUAAACUUGAUAGUUGUUUUGUAUUUUUUUCUGGAUUAAAAGCUUUGUAGAAACUAAAAAGAAAAAAAAAAGGACAUUCAGUCAUAUUUUUCUAGUCUUGCUUGUAGAAUAUUUCAUGUAGUGCAGAAAGGAAGUUUUUUGGAGUAAGGCAUUGUUGGAUUUUGCUCUAUUUCAGUUCUUUCUAAUUUUGUAAAAUGCCACCUGUACAUAAUACUCGACUAAUGUAUGUCCUGUAGAUGUAUUACACCAUUUAGCCUAUUAAAUGCCUAUACUGGACCAAUUGGAA